UUAAGCGACUAAGCGUACACGGUGGAUGCCCUGGCAGUCAGAGGCGAUGAAGGACGUGCUAAUCUGCGAAAAGCGUCGGUAAGGUGAUAUGAACCGUUACAGCCGGCGAUGUCCGAAUGGGGAAACCCAGUGCAAUUCGUUGCACUAUCGUUAACUGAAUACAUAGGUUAACGAGGCGAACCGGGGGAACUGAAACAUCUAAGUACCCCGAGGAAAAGAAAUCAACCGAGAUUCCCCCAGUAGCGGCGAGCGAACGGGGAGCAGCCCAGAGUCUGAAUCAGCUUGUGUGUUAGUGGAACGGUCUGGAAAGUCCGACGGUACAGGGUGAUAGUCCCGUACACCAAAAUGCACAGGUUGUGAACUCGAAGAGUAGGGCGGGACACGUGGUAUCCUGUCUGAAUAUGGGGGGACCAUCCUCCAAGGCUAAAUACUCCUGACUGACCGAUAGUGAACCAGUACCGUGAGGGAAAGGCGAAAAGAACCCCGGCGAGGGGAGUGAAAAAGAACCUGAAACCGUGUACGUACAAGCAGUGGGAGCACCUUCGGGUGUGACUGCGUACCUUUUGUAUAAUGGGUCAGCGACUUAUAUUCUGUAGCAAGGUUAACCGUAUAGGGGAGCCGCAGGGAAACCGAGUCUUAACUGGGCGUUAAGUUGCAGGGUAUAGACCCGAAACCCGGUGAUCUAGCCAUGGGCAGGUUGAAGGUUGGGUAACACUAACUGGAGGACCGAACCGACUAAUGUUGAAAAAUUAGCGGAUGACUUGUGGCUGGGGGUGAAAGGCCAAUCAAACCGGGAGAUAGCUGGUUCUCCCCGAAAGCUAUUUAGGUAGCGCCUCGUGAACUCAUCUUCGGGGGUAGAGCACUGUUUCGGCUAGGGGGUCAUCCCGACUUACCAACCCGAUGCAAACUACGAAUACCGAAGAAUGUUAUCACGGGAGACACACGGCGGGUGCUAACGUCCGUCGUGAAGAGGGAAACAACCCAGACCGCCAGCUAAGGUCCCAAAGUCAUGGUUAAGUGGGAAACGAUGUGGGAAGGCACAGACAGCCAGGAUGUUGGCUUAGAAGCAGCCAUCAUUUAAAGAAAGCGUAAUAGCUCACUGGUCGAGUCGGCCUGCGCGGAAGAUGUAACGGGGCUAAACCAUGCACCGAAGCUGCGGCAGCGACACUAUGUGUUGUUGGGUAGGGGAGCGUUCUGUAAGCCUGCGAAGGUGUGCUGUGAGGCAUGCUGGAGGUAUCAGAAGUGCGAAUGCUGACAUAAGUAACGAUAAAGCGGGUGAAAAGCCCGCUCGCCGGAAGACCAAGGGUUCCUGUCCAACGUUAAUCGGGGCAGGGUGAGUCGACCCCUAAGGCGAGGCCGAAAGGCGUAGUCGAUGGGAAACAGGUUAAUAUUCCUGUACUUGGUGUUACUGCGAAGGGGGGACGGAGAAGGCUAUGUUAGCCGGGCGACGGUUGUCCCGGUUUAAGCAUGUAGGCUGAUUGUCCAGGCAAAUCCGGAUAAUCAAGGCUGAGGUGUGAUGACGAGGCACUACGGUGCUGAAGUAACAAAUGCCCUGCUUCCAGGAAAAGCCUCUAAGCAUCAGGUAACAUCAAAUCGUACCCCAAACCGACACAGGUGGUCAGGUAGAGAAUACCAAGGCGCUUGAGAGAACUCGGGUGAAGGAACUAGGCAAAAUGGUGCCGUAACUUCGGGAGAAGGCACGCUGGUGUGUAGGUGAAGUCCCUGCGGAUGGAGCUGAGACCAGUCGAAGAUACCAGCUGGCUGCAACUGUUUAUUAAAAACACAGCACUGUGCAAACACGAAAGUGGACGUAUACGGUGUGACGCCUGCCCGGUGCCGGAAGGUUAAUUGAUGGGGUUAUCCGUAAGGAGAAGCUCUUGAUCGAAGCCCCGGUAAACGGCGGCCGUAACUAUAACGGUCCUAAGGUAGCGAAAUUCCUUGUCGGGUAAGUUCCGACCUGCACGAAUGGCGUAAUGAUGGCCAGGCUGUCUCCACCCGAGACUCAGUGAAAUUGAACUCGCUGUGAAGAUGCAGUGUACCCGCGGCAAGACGGAAAGACCCCGUGAACCUUUACUAUAGCUUGACACUGAACAUUGAGCCUUGAUGUGUAGGAUAGGUGGGAGGCUUUGAAGCGUGGACGCCAGUCUGCGUGGAGCCAACCUUGAAAUACCACCCUUUAAUGUUUGAUGUUCUAACGUUGGCCCCUGACCGGGGUUGCGGACAGUGUCUGGUGGGUAGUUUGACUGGGGCGGUCUCCUCCCAAAGCGUAACGGAGGAGCACGAAGGUUAGCUAAUCCUGGUCGGACAUCAGGAGGUUAGUGCAAUGGCAUAAGCUAGCUUGACUGCGAGCGUGACGGCGCGAGCAGGUGCGAAAGCAGGUCAUAGUGAUCCGGUGGUUCUGAAUGGAAGGGCCAUCGCUCAACGGAUAAAAGGUACUCCGGGGAUAACAGGCUGAUACCGCCCAAGAGUUCAUAUCGACGGCGGUGUUUGGCACCUCGAUGUCGGCUCAUCACAUCCUGGGGCUGAAGUAGGUCCCAAGGGUAUGGCUGUUCGCCAUUUAAAGUGGUACGCGAGCUGGGUUUAGAACGUCGUGAGACAGUUCGGUCCCUAUCUGCCGUGGGCGCUGGAGAAUUGAGGGGGGCUGCUCCUAGUACGAGAGGACCGGAGUGGACGCAUCACUGGUGUUCGGGUUGUCAUGCCAAUGGCACUGCCCGGUAGCUAAAUGCGGAAGAGAUAAGUGCUGAAAGCAUCUAAGCACGAAACUUGCCCCGAGAUGAGUUCUCCCUGAGACUAUAAGUCUCCUGAAGGAACGUU
rnacentral:rRNA from 5 species